UAAUCCAGGAGCCACAAGUGGCAACCGCUUUUAUUGGGCCUAAAGCGUCCGUAGCAUGUUUAGUAAAUCUUCUGUGAAAUCAUUAGGCUUAACUUAAUGGCAUGCAGAAGAGACUGCUAAACUUGAGAUUGGGAGGAGUCAGAGGUAUUUUGGGGGGAGCGGUAAAAUGCUAUAAUCCCCGAAGGACCACCUAUGGCGAAGGCAUCUGACUAGAACAAAUCUGACUGUGAGGGACGAAAGCUAGGGGAGCAAUCCGGAUUAGAUACCCGAGUAGUCCUAGCUGUAAACGCUGCGAGCUAGGUGUUGCAUAACCUCUAUGGUUAUGCGGUGUCGAAGCGAAGGUGUUAAGCUCGCCGCCUGGGAAAUAUGGCCGCAAGACUG
rnacentral:rRNA from 1 species